UGCUUAACACNUGCAGUCGAACGGUAAGGCCCCUUCGGGGGUACACGAGUGGCGAACGGGUGAGUAACACGUGGGUGAUCUGCCCUGCACUCUGGGAUAAGCCUGGGAAACUGGGUCUAAUACCGGAUAUGAGCUCCUGUCGCAUGGCGGGGGUUGGAAAGGUUUACUGGUGCAGGAUGGGCCCGCGGCCUAUCAGCUUGUUGGUGGGGUAAUGGCCUACCAAGGCGACGACGGGUAGCCGGCCUGAGAGGGCGACCGGCCACACUGGGACUGAGACACGGCCCAGACUCCUACGGGAGGCAGCAGUGGGGAAUAUUGCACAAUGGGCGAAAGCCUGAUGCAGCGACGCCGCGUGAGGGAUGACGGCCUUCGGGUUGUAAACCUCUUUCAGCAGGGACGAAGCGAGAGUGACGGUACCUGCAGAAGAAGCACCGGCCAACUACGUGCCAGCAGCCGCGGUAAUACGUAGGGUGCGAGCGUUGUCCGGAAUUACUGGGCGUAAAGAGCUCGUAGGCGGUUUGUCGCGUCGUCCGUGAAAACUUGGGGCUCAACCCCAAGCUUGCGGGCGAUACGGGCAGACUUGAGUACUGCAGGGGAGACUGGAAUUCCUGGUGUAGCGGUGAAAUGCGCAGAUAUCAGGAGGAACACCGGUGGCGAAGGCGGGUCUCUGGGCAGUAACUGACGCUGAGGAGCGAAAGCGUGGGUAGCGAACAGGAUUAGAUACCCUGGUAGUCCACGCCGUAACGGUGGGCGCUAGGUGUGGGUUUCCUUCCACGGGAUCCGUGCCGUAGCUAACGCAUUAAGCGCCCCGCCUGGGGAGUANGGNCGCAAGGCUAAAACUC
rnacentral:rRNA from 2 species